rnacentral:tRNA from 1 species
GGGGCUGUGGCUCAGCGGUAGAGCACUUGCCUAGCAUGCGUGAGGCACUGGGUUCAAUUCUCAGUACCA